CAGUCGCCGCGGUAAUCCGAAGGGGGCUAGCGUUGUUCGGAUUUACUGGGCGUAAAGGGCGCGUAGGCGGACUGAUAAGUCAGGGGUGAAAUCCCAAGGCUCAACCUUGGAACUGCCUUUGAUACUGUUUGUCUUGAGUUCGAGAGAGGUAAGUGGAACUGCGAGUGUAGAGGUGAAAUUCGUAGAUAUUCGCAAGAACACCAGUGGCGAAGGCGGCUUACUGGCUCGAAACUGACGCUGAGGCGCGAAAGCGUGGGGAGCAAACAGGAUUAGAUACCCCCGUAGUCCCUGUCUCUUAUAC
rnacentral:rRNA from 1 species